UGGGGGGGAAACCCACGACCAGUGCAACAGAGAGCAAACCGCCGAUGGCCCGCGCAAGCGGGAUCAGGUAAGGGUGAAAGGGUGCGGUAAGAGCGCACCGCGCGGCUGGUAACAGUCCGUGGCACGGUAAACUCCACCCGGAGCAAGGCCAAAUAGGGGUUCAUAAGGUACGGCCCGUACUGAACCCGGGUAGGCUGCUUGAGCCAGUGAGCGAUUGCUGGCCUAGAUGAAUGACUGUCCACGACAGAACCCGGCUUAUCGGUCAGUUUCACCU
rnacentral:RNase_P_RNA from 1 species